UACGUAGGGUGCGAGCGUUGUCCGGAAUUAUUGGGCGUAAAGAGCUCGUAGGCGGUGUGUCACGUCGGCCGUGAAAACCUGGGGCUCAACUCUGGGCGUGCGGUCGAUACGGGCAUCACUGGAGUUCGGCAGGGGGAGACUGGAAUUCCUGGGUGUAGCGGUGAAAUGCGCAGAUAUCAGGAGGAACACCGGUGGCGAAGGCGGGGUCUCUGGGCCGAUACUGACG
rnacentral:rRNA from 1 species